GGUUUUCUAUGAUCCAAAUAAGAGUACACAUGCCUUUAUUUUAACAUACAGAUUAAAUGUUGACAAGUACAUUUUGAUUGCUUAGUCAGUGUAUUGUCCGUUCAAAAAAAAGUCAAUGUAUUGAUAAUAGUUUGGCUUCCUUGGUAGUGUAGAUUCAAGGAAAUUUAUAAAAUUCAUCCAUUCUUUCUUCACUUUUUUGUAUUUAUAUAUGUUCUGUACUGUUGAGUUAACUCAGUUGCAGCUAUAAAAAGUCAAUGUAUUGAUAAUAGUUUGGCUUCCUUGGUAGUGUAGAUUCAGCUAACAGUUUUGGUUCCUACUAUUAAAACAUAUACUGCUUUUUAAGAGAAACAUACCUAAUGUUUUAUUUGAUUAACCCUGUAUGUAUAGCAAAUUUCUUCUAAUUUGUUUUUCUUAAGUGCUGAAGACUUCCAUAAGGACGCAACUACAAAUAGUUCUUAUCUUCAGAGGGUAGCCUUAGUCUCUCUACCUUUUCUUUUUUGGUGUUGAUAAUUGGAUUAAAUAUGUUAGAUAGCUGCUGAGUAUUUUGAUUUGUUCUUAGGAAAAUCGUUUACGCCAAGAGAUAGAAGACCUGGAGAAGGACACUGGGUAUAAGUUGAGAGUUCUCGCACAAAAUCAUCCGGACACACCGUAAAAUGGAUAGAUGACCCGUUUGCGCCUCAAGAAGUCAUAGGCAGGACCAAAUGUAUGAUGGAGCGCACGACCAAAACCUAUCCACAUAAAAUUCAUGCAUUCUUUCUUCACUUUUUUGUAUUUAUAUGUUCUGUACUGUUGAGUUAACUCAGUUGCAGCUAUAACAAGUGAGCUCUAUAUUCAAUUCAGCUAACAGUUUUUGUUCCUACUAUUAAAACAUAUAUUGCUUUUUAAGAGAAACAUACCUAAUGUUUUAUUUGAUUAACCCUGUAUGUAUAGCAAAUUUAUUCUAAUUUGUUUUUCUUAAGUGUUGAAGACUUCCAUAAGGGCGCAACUACAGAAUCAUCUGGACACACCGUAAAAUGGAUAGAUGACCCGUUUGCGCCUCAAGAAGUCAUAGGCAGGACCAAAUGUGAUGUAAUUACUUUCAAUAGUGCUUCAGCUCUGCAAUCGACAGUUUGACCUCAUGCUAGGGCAGCCUCAGCCAGUUGCCUCUUCUAUCAAAGUGCUGAUGGAAGACAUCCUGAGUCCUUAUUGCAUGCUAGAGAACAACAACUAUCUUGUUGGUGAUUCCCCUGAUAUUUGGUUCUACAAGUGUGGCAUAUGGACCAAUGAAAGCAAAGAUAUUCUGAAUGUAAUAGCUAUAUGGGUUGUGCCAAAUGGUUUAACAGUGGAAGCGUCACGCUUAAGUACCUGUGGAAGUGUACUAUGCAAGCAUUAUCAGACAAUGCAAUGACACCCUGUUUGUACAUUCACACCCUUUGAAUGCCGCAAUCAGACUAAGAAGAUGCCUAAA